GACGAACGCUGGCGGCGUGCCUAAUACAUGCAAGUCGAGCGAAGUUUUUCUGGUGCUUGCACUAGAAAAACUUAGCGGCGAACGGGUGAGUAACACGUAAAGAACCUGCCUCAUAGACUGGGACAACUAUUGGAAACGAUAGCUAAUACCGGAUAACAGUAUUUCUCGCAUGAGAGAUAUUUAAAAGUUGGUUAUGCUAACACUAUGAGAUGGCUUUGCGGUGCAUUAGCUAGAUGGCGGGGUAAAGGCCCACCAAGGCGACGAUGCAUAGCCGACCUGAGAGGGUGAUCGGCCACACUGGGACUGAGACACGGCCCAGACUCCUACGGGAGGCAGCAGUAGGGAAUCUUCCGCAAUGGGCGAAAGCCUGACGGAGCAACGCCGCGUGAGUGAAGAAGGAUUUCGGUUCGUAAAGCUCUGUUGUUAGGGAAGAAUGGAUAUGUAGUAACUAUACAUGUAAGAGACGGUACCUAACCAGAAAGCCACGGCUAACUACGUG
rnacentral:rRNA from 1 species